CAUUCUUGCUGCCGGGUCGGGGUAAACGAAUGGUGAAUGGCUGCUGCAGCAGCCUUGUUAAACUGCCCUCAGGACAUGCCAUUCAAAGAGUGUCCAGCACAGAGGAGAUGUGAGUAAUUCACCAGCCUUGAAUCACCCUGCAUCUCAACACUGAUAUCAUUAUACCUGUCUAUUAAUUAACUGAUAUUUCUUAAUUUCUGAUAUAUCCACAAACCAGCACUAAUGGCAGGUGAUUAUCAUACACAAGAGCAAGGAAUGGUACAUACAUAGAAUCUCUAAUAUCAUUAUCCAAAAGUGCAAGAAUAGACAGUAAAAAAACUGUUCAGAAAUAAAUAUUCUCCAGGUGAAGAAACUUCAUUUGUCCAAAGGGAGUGGGAGGAUAAUGGAGGAGAAGCAGUGCUGUACUAGGUCUGGGAAAAGAGAAUCUCCAGCUGUAUGAAUGAAAGACCCUGUCUAUGGCACUCUCAGUUCCUGUGGCAAGUCUACUUUCAUGGUUAUUUCACCAUCCUUUACCCCGCUGGUAAAGGGACCUCUCAGACAGAGACAUAAGAACUGCCUUGGAUCUUUCCAGCUGCCUCCACUGCCUUCUGCACACUAUAUCUACUGCCAAAACCUGACCCACCCUACUCACAGGAGCUCAUGA
rnacentral:lncRNA from 1 species